rnacentral:rRNA from 1 species
AUAUAUUGUUUUUAGCAUGAAAUGGAUGCCUUGGGAGUAUUUAUUAUAGGCGUAACUCACGAAAUAAUUGGGGUAAAUUUAAGUAUUUGUGAUCCCAAUAUCCCUAUGUUGACAAAUUAGAACCACAAGGUUCGCUGUUUUAUCAGAUUAUACAAGGGGAAGUGAAACAUCUCAGUACCCUUAAGUUAACAAAAAUCAACCGAGAGGUCGUUAGUAGUGGUGAGCGAACACGAUAUAGGCAUAAAACCAAAGAUUGUUGGGGCUUGAAAAUCCAUAGAAGGUGUUAGUCCUGUAGGGCCUUAAAUUUUUGGUUGGUAUUAAGUAAGAUGAGUCAAGUUGACCUUGUCCGAUAAAUGGGGGACCACCCUCAAAGCCUACGAUUAAAUUACUCACCGAUAGUGAACAAGUACCGUGAGGGAAAGGUGAAAUAGAAGUUUUGACAGUGCAAAGAUCCUGAAAUUUCAUGUUUGAGUCGAAGUAAUUUAAUUUACAACGGCCUACCUUUUGUAUAAUGGGCGAGUGAAUCUUGGCAAUGGGCAAGCUUAAGUUGAUACAAACGAAAGCGAAGAUAAAUCGAGUUAUAACAGGCGGUUAUAGUCCUUUGCCAAGUACCCGAAACCGACUGAUCUAAACUUGAGCAGGCUGAUAUUGUAAUAGAAAUAUUCUUUGGAGGGCCGAACCCGUGUGUGUGGCAAAAUACUGGGAUGAUUUGAGUUUAGGGGUGAAAGGCCAAUCAAAGUCGGUUAUAGCUGGAUUUCUGCGAAAUCUAUUUAAGUAGAGCAUCCUAAUACAGAGAGCUGGGGGUAGAGCACUGUGCGAGCAAGGGGGAUAUUAUAUUUUACUAAGCUCCGGCAAACUCCGAAUACCAGUUGUUUUAUUUAGGGUAGACAGAACACGAAUGCUAAGAUUCGUGUUCAAGAGGGAAACAGCCCAGACUAAAAGUUAAGGUCCACAAAAUAGUUUCAGUGAAAAAGGUGACUUAUCUUCCAAGACAACCAGGAGGUAGGCUUGGAAGCAGCCACCCUUUAAAGAUAGCGUAAUAGCUCACUGGUCUAGAAAAUAUGUCCCAUUAAUUCUGAGGGCUUAAAACUAUUACCGAAACUUUAGAAAGAUAAAAUUUUAUCUUUGGUAGCAGAACGUUCCGUAGUUUAAGAAGCUCAAUUGUAAGGUUGUAGUGGAGAUAUCGGAAGUGAGAAUACUUGCAUGAGUAGCAUAAAACAACGUCAAAGCGUUGUGGCCGAAAGUCUAAGGUUUCCGAUCUAAGGUACAACCGGGUCGGUUUAUAAACGGUCCCUAAGCUUUUGAUCCAAUGAUUUGGGUAAUGGGUAAGUUUUAACUGUAAGGAGUUGCUGACGUAAAAUUCACCCUAUUUAGAAUACAGUUUCUACGUAGAUUUUUUUUUCCAAGAAAUAGGCACUCCGUUAAUACCGUACCUUAAACCGCCACAGGUGGACUGGUGUAAGCGCACUAAGGCCGUGAGAUAACCCUGUUGAAGGAACUCGGCAAAUUGACUCCGUAACUUUGGGAUAAGGAGGGAAAUUGGCUGCGCAAGCAGCCAAUUUUGGCACGUAAUGAGGGGUAGCGACUGUUUAAUAAAAACACAGGUCUCUGCUAACUCGUAAGAGGAUGUAUAGGGGCUGACACCUGCCCGGUGCUGGUAGGGUAAUCUUUUGUGUAUUCGCACGAAUGUUAAACCUCAGUAAACGGCGGCUGUAACUAUGACGGUCCUAAGGUAGCGAAAUUCCUUGUCGGGUAAGUUCCGACCUGCAUGAAUGGUGUAACGACUUCCCCACUGUCUCCAACAGGGACUCAGUGAAAUUACAAAGAUCGUGAAGAUGCGGUCAUCCUGCAGUUGGACGGAAAGACCCCGUGCACCUUUACUAUAAAUAUAUAUUGUAAAACAAAUUUUAAAGUGUAGUAUAGGUGGGAGCAAAUGAUAUCUUUUCGCCAGAAAACAGUUAAUGCGACAGUGAAAUACCACCCCCUGAAAUAUUGUUUUACUUACUUUUUAAGGACAGUGUGUAUUUGGUAGUUUGACUGGGGCGGUCACCUCCUAAAGAGUAACGGAGGUAUGCAAUGGUAGGUUCAUUUUCUGUCAAGAAAAGAAGAGCACAAUGGUAUAAGCCUGCUUGACUGAAAGGAAGACAUUUCGAUCAGGGACGUAAGUCGGUCAUAGUGAUCCGGUGGUUCUACGUGGAUGGGCCAUCGCGCAAUGGAUAAAAGGUACGCCGGGGAUAACAGGCUAAUGAAUCUCUAGAGCUCCUAUCGACGGGUUCGUUUGGCACCUCGAUGUCGACUCAUCACAUCCUGGAGCUGAAAAAGGUUCCAAGGGUUCGGCUGUUCGCCGACGAAAGUGGUACGUGAGUUGGGUUUAGAACGUCGUGAGACAGUUUGGUCCCUAUCUCCUGCAGGUGUUUGAAAAUUGGGAGGAUUAGACCUUAGUACGAGAGGACCGGGAAAACUUGAUCCCUGGUGUUUCGGCUGUUCCCAAAGGGGCAAGCCGGGUAGCUACAUCGAGAAGAGAUAAUUGACCAUAUAGGCAAGAACCUCGCCUCAAUUUAAAUUUUCAUACGGGGGUGGAAGACUACCACUUUGAUAGGCGGGAGGUGUAAGGGUUGUAAGACCUUCAGCUGACCCGUACUAAUCCCGGCACUCUUUUCUAA